rnacentral:rRNA from 1 species
UGAGGAACAUGACCUUCGGCGGGGGAGUAGCCGGCCCAACGGCCGGGUAAUACCGCGUACGACCACUCGGGGACAUCCCCAGGUGGUGAAAGCAGCAAUGCGCCGAUGGAGUGCCUCGCGGCCUAUCAGCUAGUUGGUGAGGUAACGGCUCACCAAGGCUACGACGGAUAGCUGGUCUGAGAGGAUGUCCAGCCACACUGGGACUGAGACACGGCCCAGACUCCGUAGGGAGG